UACGUAGGGGGCAAGCGUUGUCCGGAAUCAUUGGGCGUAAAGGGCUCGUAGGCGGUUUGUCGCGUCGGGAGUGAAAUCCUACGGCUUAACUGUGGGCUUGCUUUCGAUACGGGCAGACUAGAGGUAUGCAGGGGAGAACGGAAUUCCUGGUGUAGCGGUGAAAUGCGCAGAUAUCAGGAGGAACACCGGUGGCGAAGGCGGUUCUCUGGGCAUGAUCUGACGCUGAGGAGCGAAAGUGUGGGGAGCGAACAGG
rnacentral:rRNA from 1 species